UGGCAAGCUCAAAGCUUGCUGGCAGGGGAACAAAGUUCAUCUCUUCCUCCUUUGCCUGGAUGAUGGGAGAAGAGAUGUAAGACCCAUCAGACCCAUCAACUCAGAACCUGAACUUUGACAUUUCCACAAAAGCACAAGCAAUUCCUCAUCACUUCUCAGCCUCCUGGAUAAGAGAGCAUGACCUUCACAUUGCUAAGAGAUACAGUCUGUGGGAGCAUCUUGACAUCCACCUGGGAAGUCCUCGCUCGUGGUGGGCAUGCCAUCUUGUUGAGAGGAAAUCUGCCCCCAGGGCCUUCUGGAUUUGGAGAAUGUCGAGAAGUCCAGCUAGCUAGGAAAUAAAUUCAACAUGAUUGCUUAACCAAACUUCCUGAAUGGCCACAGUACAAAUUCAUAUCCAAUUCAAGAAUGAACGGAGCAUUGUCUAGUAAAAUGUCAUCAUUUCCUGGCUUUAAGAAGGGGAUGAGAGGAUGCGCUGAGUCUGGGUAGAAUGUUUUGGUCAGAUCUUCAAGUUGAAACCUACAAGCCAAAACAAAAGAGAAGAAGAAAUAACAGCAGCGUGGGAAGUUGGGGCCAUGUGGUUCUGAUUCAUUUUUACUUAACUCGUGAAGACAUUGUUUCAUAAAGGCCAUUUGAUGUCCAAAGAUUCUGCUCAAAGUUUUCUUCCUCAAACCAUGGGGCCAGGAGAGCUGCACAGUCUAUGACAGAAAGACAGAAUCAUCAGGAGGCCUGGAACUCACUCUUCUUACCUCUCCUGCCCUGGCUUACUUUCAGGAGGGUGAGCUAUCUGGAUAGAGAUAACAGUGUUUCAUGGAGGACUGAGAAACUGCAUGGACAGUGGGAAGACACCCAACACAGAGGAAACCCUUCUGUUGCCAGCAGCACGGUGGAAGUUCUCCUGCUGUUUUACUUUAGAACACCAAAUACCAAAAGUUAAAGCUCUUCUAAAGGAAAUGGCCCAAGAGUUAGCAUGCACCAACAAUUAAUUUUUAAAAUUUAUUUAUUUCUACUUUCUUUUCCUUUUCAUAACUCACCGUUGUUGCUGGAGUCUAGGUCCUCAGGUAGAAGUCCUGUCAGCUGCCCAAGUCUCCAGAAAGCAAAACAAAACUCAAGAAGGAUUUUGACCACAAUCAGAAAGUGGGAGGACAUGAACCCGCCUUCUCCACAGCCUGAACUUCCAUAGUCAUAGCUUCCAAACUGGCACAAGGGGGUCUUAUAUGAAAGAGUGAGCAAAAUCAAGAAGCACAGUCUUGCAUUUAUUAUACAUCUUAACAUGGUUUGGAAAGCCUGAUGUACUCGAACAGAUGGAUAUUGGUGACUUUAAAGAUAAAAUUUUAAUGAGAACAUGUCUGUUGCUGUAUAGAAAAACUAUCCCCACAUUUAUGGGUAUAAAAGAGAGGAGGUCCUGGUGUACCUUGAAGCAUGGGAACCCUAAGAGGAAACUGGUGGAAGAGGCUGCAUGCAGAGGCUGGAGGAAGGAAGAGACCCAUUUGAGAAACACAAGAUGAGGCUGGCCCAUCUGCAAGGAUAGGACAGUCUAAAAAUCUGCAGAUCUCUUUCAAAAGAUUACCAUCAUGAAGAGUAAUAGCAAUAGAAAAUGAUCAGCAAGCAACAAACAGCAAGAGCCAAUCACCAUUUAUGCCUUUGAGAAUCCGAAAUGCAUAAA
rnacentral:lncRNA from 1 species